AACGAACGCUGGCGGCAUGCCUAACACAUGCAAGUCGAACGGGAUCCUAGCUUGCUAGGUGAGAGUGGCGGACGGGUGAGUAACACGUGGGAAUCUGCCUUUUGGUUCGGGAUAACCGCGGGAAACUGCGGCUAAUACCGAAUGCCCUCGAGAGAGGAAAGAUUUAUCGCCAGAAGAGGAGCCCGCGUCCGAUUAGGUAGUUGGUGGGGUAAAGGCCUACCAAGCCGACGAUCGGUAGCUGGUCUGAGAGGAUGAUCAGCCACACUGGGACUGAGAUACGGCCCAGACUCCUACGGAGGCAGCAGUGGGGAAUAUUGGACAAUGGGGGCAACCCUGAUCCAGCAAUGCCGCGUGAGUGGUGAAGGCCUUCGGUUGUAAAGACUCUUUCGCACGCGACGAUGAUGACGGUAGCGUGAGAAGAGGCCCGGCUAACUUCGUGCCAGCAGCCGCGGUAAU
rnacentral:rRNA from 1 species